GGGGAAUAUUGGACAAUGGGCGCAAGCCUGAUCCAGCCAUGCCGCGUGAGUGAUGAAGGCCUUAGGGUUGUAAAGCUCUUUCACCGGUGAAGAUAAUGACGGUAGCCGGAGAAGAAGCCCCGGCUAACUUCGUGCCAGCAGCCGCGGUAAUACGAAGGGGGCUAGCGUUGUUCGGAAUUACUGGGCGUAAAGCGCACGUAGGCGGAUUGGUCAGUUAGGGGUGAAAUCCCAGGGCUCAACCCUGGAACUGCCUUUAAUACUGCCAGUCUUGAGUUCGAGAGAGGUGAGUGGAGUUCCGAGUGUAGAGGUGAAAUUCGUAGAUAUUCGGAGGAACACCAGUGGCGAAGGCGGCUCACUGGCUCGAUACUGACGCUGAGGUGCGAAAGCGUGGGGAGCAAAC
rnacentral:rRNA from 1 species